rnacentral:rRNA from 1 species
UACGUAGGGGGCGAGCGUUAUCCGGAUUCACUGGGUGUAAAGGGAGCGUAGACGGCCAUGCAAGCCAGGGGUGAAAGCCCGGGGCCCAACCCCGGGACUGCCCUUGGAACUGCAUGGCUGGGGUGCGGGAGGGGCAGGCGGAAUUCCUGGUGUAGCGGUGAAAUGCGUAGAUAUCACGCAGAACCCCGAUUGCGAAGGCAGCCUUCCGGCGCCCUACUGACGCUGAGGCACGAAAGUGCGGGGAUCGAACAGG